rnacentral:rRNA from 1 species
GAUGAACGCUGGCGGCGUGCCUAACACAUGCAAGUCGAACGGAGAUUUAACGCUGAUGAGGCUUCGGCGGAUUCUUGUUAAAUCUUAGUGGCGGACGGGUGAGUAACGCGUGGGCAACCUGCCUCAUACUGGGGGAUAACAGCUGGAAACGACUGUUAAUACCGCAUAAGCGCACAGCAUCGCAUGAUACAGUGUGAAAAACUCCGGUGGUAUGAGAUGGGCCCGCGUCAGAUUAGCCAGUUGGCAGGGUAACGGCCUACCAAAGCAACGAUCUGUAGCCGGCCUGAGAGGGCGGACGGCCACAUUGGGACUGAGACACGGCCCAAACUCCUACGGGAGGCAGCAGUGGGGGAUAUUGCACAAUGGAGGAAACUCUGAUGCAGCGACGCCGCGUGAGUGAAGAAGUAUUUCGGUAUGUAAAGCUCUAUCAGCAGGGAAGAAAGGCUCGUAAGAGAGAUGACGUAC